rnacentral:rRNA from 1 species
UACGUAGGCAGCGAGCGUUGUUCGGAGUUACUGGGCGUAAAGGGUGUGUAGGCGGUUGUUUAAGUUUGGUGUGAAAUCUCCCGGCUCAACUGGGAGGGUGCGCCGAAUACUGAAUGACUGGAGUGCGGGAGAGGUGGAGUGGAAUUCCUGGUGUAGCGGUGAAAUGCGUAGAUAUCAGGAGGAACACCGGUGGUGUAGACGGCUCACUGGACCGUAACUGACGCUGAGACACGAAAGCGUGGGUAGCAAACAGG